rnacentral:lncRNA from 12 species
UCUGAGAGCGAGACGCUGUGAGAGGACCUCGAUAAAGUGUGAUGCUCUGCUGGGUGAAAGCACACUGCUGAAAGAAGCAGAUAAAGAGGUGGGGUUGAGGGAGAAACAGAUGGGAGGCUAGGGUGGAGGUCGAGGGAUGCUACAGUAACUCGUGCUGAAAGCGUCACUAGUUAAUGGUUAAUGGAGGGCCGGGAGAGCCCCUCAGGACGCUAUUAGCCGAACCCCAGUCACAGCUACAUUCCUGCAGCCUCUGGGAGAGAGAUCUGGCUUUUUAUGGUGAUAGGAGGGCAGAUCCGUCACAACCCGGCCUGGGAAAGUGCCAGGAGAAAGAAAAGACACGUGUUGUGGUGCUGGAAAACCAGAGUAUCACGACAUAA